AAGGAAGGAGAGGCUGUUUCCACAGGUGUCAUAGAGAAAUCGAUACUGAACCACGGAUUAUUGGAUCCCACAGAACCGUGAAGACUCAGCAGUGAAAUUCUUCCAAAGG
rnacentral:lncRNA from 1 species